rnacentral:rRNA from 1 species
UACGGAGGGGGCAAGCGUUGUUCGGAAUUACUGGGCGUAAAGGGCGCGUAGGCGGCCGGCUAAGUCGAACGUGAAAUCCCCGGGCUCAACCCGGGAACUGCGUCCGAUACUGGUCGGCUUGAAUUCGGGAGAGGGAUGCGGAAUUCCAGGUGUAGCGGUGAAAUGCGUAGAUAUCUGGAGGAACACCGGUGGCGAAGGCGGCAUCCUGGACCGAGAUUGACGCUGAGGCGCGAAAGCCAGGGGAGCAAACGGG